rnacentral:rRNA from 1 species
GCGAUACCCGAAUGGGGAAACCCAGUGUGACUCGUCACACUAUCAUUAACUGAAUCCAUAGGUUAAUGAGGCGAACCGGGGGAACUGAAACAUCUAAGUACCCCGAGGAAAAGAAAUCAACCGAGAUUCCCCCAGUAGCGGCGAGCGAACGGGGAGGAGCCCAGAGCCUGAAUCAGCAUGUGUGUUAGUGGAAGCGUCUGGAAAGGCGCGCGAUACAGGGUGACAGCCCCGUACACAAAAGCGCAUGUGCUGUGAGCUCGAUGAGUAGGGCGGGACACGUGGUAUCCUGUCUGAAUAUGGGGGGACCAUCCUCCAAGGCUAAAUACUCCUGACUGACCGAUAGUGAACCAGUACCGUGAGGGAAAGGCGAAAAGAACCCCGGCGAGGGGAGUGAAAAAGAACCUGAAACCGUGUACGUACAAGCAGUGGGAGCCCCACCACCAAAGCAUUUGCUGUACCGCGUUGACGGAGCGAAGCGACGUCAAACCGAUAAAACAGCAGUGUAAAGUGAGCCGCAGGGCGCUUUGCGCGACAGCGCAAAGGCAGGCGGUUUCGCGUAGCGAAAGCGAAUGCUUUGGGGUGGGGUGACUGCGUACCUUUUGUAUAAUGGGUCAGCGACUUAUAUUCUGUAGCAAGGUUAACCGAAUAGGGGAGCCGGAGGGAAACCGAGUCUUAAUUGGGCGUUAAGUUGCAGGGUAUAGACCCGAAACCCGGUGAUCUAGCCAUGGGCAGGUUGAAGGUUGGGUAACACUAACUGGAGGACCGAACCGACUAAUGUUGAAAAAUUAGCGGAUGACCUGUGGCUGGGGGUGAAAGGCCAAUCAAACCGGGAGAUAGCUGGUUCUCCCCGAAAGCUAUUUAGGUAGCGCCUCGUGAAUUCAUCUCCGGGGGUAGAGCACUGUUUCGGCUAGGGGGCCAUCCCGGCUUACCAACCCGAUGCAAACUGCGAAUACCGGAGAAUGUUAUCACGGGAGACACACGGCGGGUGCUAACGUCCGUCGUGAAGAGGGAAACAACCCAGACCGCCAGCUAAGGUCCCAAAGUCAUGGUUAAGUGGGAAACGAUGUGGGAAGGCCCAGACAGCCAGGAUGUUGGCUUAGAAGCAGCCAUCAUUUAAAGAAAGCGUAAUAGCUCACUGGUCGAGUCGGCCUGCGCGGAAGAUGUAACGGGGCUAAACCAUGCACCGAAGCUGCGGCAGCGACACUGUGUGUUGUUGGGUAGGGGAGCGUUCUGUAAGCCUGUGAAGGUGUGUCGUGAGGCAUGCUGGAGGUAUCAGAAGUGCGAAUGCUGACAUAAGUAACGAUAAAGCGGGUGAAAAGCCCGCUCGCCGGAAGACCAAGGGUUCCUGUCCAACGUUAAUCGGGGCAGGGUGAGUCGACCCCUAAGGCGAGGCCGAAAGGCGUAGUCGAUGGGAAACGGGUUAAUAUUCCCGUACUUGGUGUUACUGCGAAGGGGGGACGGAGAAGGCUAUGUUGGCCGGG